CAAGUACUCCCUCCGUCCAGAAUUACUUGUCAUCAAAAUGGAUGUGUCUAGAACUAAAAUACAUCUAGAUACAUCCAUUUCAAUGGCAAGUAUUUUUGGAUGGAGGGAGUACAAG
rnacentral:pre_miRNA from 1 species